GAAGGGUGCAAGCGUUACUCGGAAUUACUGGGCGUAAAGCGUGCGUAGGUGGUUUGUUAAGUCUGUUGUGAAAGCCCCGGGCUCAACCUGGGAAUGGCAAUGGAUACUGGCAAGCUAGAGUGCGGUAGAGGGUAGUGGAAUUCCCGGUGUAGCGGUGAAAUGCGUAGAGAUCGGGAGGAACACCAGUGGCGAAGGCGGCUACCUGGACCAGCACUGACACUGAGGCACGAAAGCGUGGGGAGCAAACAGGAUUAGAUACCCUGGUAGUCCACGCCCUAAACGAUGCGAACUGGACGUUGGGAGCAACUUGGCUCUCAGUGUCGAAGCUAACGCGUUAAGUUCGCCGCCUGGGGAGUACGGUCGCAAGACUG
rnacentral:rRNA from 1 species